ACUCGGUGCCUGUUCCCUCUUGGAAUUAACCCAAGGAAAAGAGUCCUCUCAGCAAAACAAAGUUAGCUUGCUUCCUUGUGUGUGGCCUGCUUAUUUUAUUUUUUAGAGCUAUACUUCAGAAGUGCAGAGCAGCCUGAGGGCCCUUUUUCUCCAUUUUAUUUUGUGUGUCUUCUUAAAAAUUGUAUCUUGGCUAGAACUACUCUUUCUUCCUUGGUGGUUUUAUAACUCACAAGGUGAAUGGUGAUACCCUGAAAGAUCAACAGGAAUACCCUCAGGGUGGGAAUAUAAAUCUAGUCCCUCUUACUCUAUCCUGCCCAGAAGUGGAAAUAUGAUCCUUCCAUUAUAAAAUAAAGAAUGGUCCUAAGAUUUGAGAACUCCAAAAGGACUUAGUGUUACGGAAUAAAGGUGAACAACCAUUUGGGACUGUUUAUCUACUUGCUAUCUCUCUUUUGAGAGAGAAUAAUGUCUCAAGAGCUCCAUUCUCUGAUGCCUGCAGUAUGUUAUGAAUCAGUAGAGAAUCUUUCUGUCUGUGCUUGGAUCUUGGGCUGGAAGUGUCAGGAAUUAUUGCUUCCCGGGAGCGUGCCUUAACCAAUGAUGCUUAGGAGUUGGUAUACAAAUGUUUCAACUCCUUCACCGCUCAAGUGGAAUGAUUCUGAGGAUGUGAACUUGGAAAAGCUCUAAGGCAGCCCAGGAAAAGGCAGACAAGAAACCAUCAUGAAUGGGUGCUGCAUGAGCAGAGAUUGUCAAGAAAAUGGGAUGGUAAUUUGCAUAGGUCCACAAAGCGAACAUUGAUUUGAAGUGUUCCUGUGAAUGGCCAGUAGACAGGAUAUAGAAACAGACAGGAAAUCAUAAAGUGGAGAAUGGUGUAUAAGAUGGAGUUUCAGCCUGGGGAAGUACAUAAAAUAAUGCCAUGUCAAGGUCAUAAGAACUUCGACAGUCAGGGAGAUGACAAAUAGAAAACUGAUUCAUAAAUCCUGAAAUAAAAUAUUACUACCUAAACUCUAAAUCAGAUGGCCACCAGGUCAAAAAUAAAUUACAAGGUGAAUCUAAUGUAGCUAUGUAAUUAAAAAUUGGCCAUGUUGAUGAGGCAAGAAAUUUUGGCAAUAACAGUAAUGAAGGUGUCAGGGCUCAGAAAAUGACAUGCCAAAUUAUGGCACUUUAGUGUGCUGAGUACUUUGAACUAAAGGAGAUUGGAAUGCCUCAGAAGCAAAGCCACUCUAUCCCCCACCUUUCUGUGUAGGUGUAUAGCAGAUGCAUCUGACAGCAAUAACUUAAGCAUACCCUGAGAAAGACCCUCAAGUCUAAGAAGAAUGUGUGUUUGGAGUUCUGAGCUAAGAAAUCCAGGAGUGGCAAACCUAGAGAUUCGCUCCUUGUCUAUGAAGGACAUAUGACCCCCUGGCCCAUGCCUUGGAAUGCAGGCCAUAUAGGGGAUUAAGGUCCUUUGUUUUGGGUUAUAUGGAGGUUGUUAGGUGGAGGGUGGUAGCAGGUUUUCAGUCCAGCCCACCACCACUGUACUGCCCCAUAUGUAAGUCCUCAGUAAACCCUAUGUGUCAUCUGCUGGUUCCGGGUCUCCUCUCUUCUUCCGCUUCUAGGACAUGGUGCUAUCCCUAUUGGAGUCAGUAGGUCUGGCACAACAGUAGGAGCUGGCCAUAAAGAAAUUCUCUGACCUACCUUGUCUGAUAGCAGGUCAUAAGAUCCUUAUUCCAGAGGGGUCCUGCCCCAUACCUGGGAGAAAGGAAUGCUACACAGAGGUCAAGGAGAAGCCAAACAAGCAGGACUUAAUGGGUUUCCCACUCCGUCUAUUGCCAUUAGAUCAUACAUUUUUUGUGUGGAAUCAUAUUUCUACAUGGUUGUCCAUUCUUCAUGAAAACUAAGAAUAAAAGUAGACAAUUUUCC
rnacentral:lncRNA from 1 species